rnacentral:lncRNA from 1 species
AGUUCCCUGUGCUGUACAGUAGGACCUUGUUGUUUACCAAUCCUAUCUAUAAUAGUUUGCAUUUGCUAAUCCUAAACUCCCAAUCCUUCCUUCCCCACCCCACCUCCCCCUUGGCAACCAUAUGUCGGUUCUCUAUGUCUCCAACAGCAGAAUCUUUGUAAUUGAUAUCCCCAGUUAAGGAGAGUGUCCUUGGACGAGGGCUCAGCCCUCCUGCUUGCCUCACCUCUGUCUCCUGCUUAGAAUGAGAAGAUAGGGGAAGGGUUGGGAGUCUUUAGGGUCGAGAAAGAACCCUGUGGGUUGGUAGCUUCUAGUCUUGUAGUCUCCCUGGGACUAGCAAGUAGGUGAGAAAUGGAGUUGUGUUACUAACUGAGAUUAAGAAGAAAUGGUGCUCGGGACUUCCCUGGUGGUGCAGUGGUUAAGAACCCGCCUGCCAGUGCAGGGGACACGGGUUUGAGCCCUGGUCCAGGAAGAUCCCACAUGCCACGGAGCCACUAAGCCCAUGAGCCACAACUACUGAGCCUGCACUCUAGAGCCCGCGAGCCACAACUACUGAGCCCAUGUGCCACAACUACUGAAGCCCACGCGCCUAAAGCCUGUGCUCCGCCACAAGAGAAGCCACGGCAAUGAGAAGCUCACAAACUGCAAUGCCCCGUGUGUGGCACGCAAAGGUGGAGAACUACAGAGAGAGGAAACCACCCAAGAACAGAAGAUCUCCAUGUUGCCUGGUUCCAAGAGCUACCACUCACUAACUUACAGGGGCUUUGUAACUUUGGGGACGGUCUCCUCAGGAUAUUGUGAAGGCUUAAGAAACUGGGAUUUUCCUGCCCCACAAAUCUCGAAGGGUUGAAAAUGCCCAGAGCCCGAGAAUAAGCUUCGAGCAUCUACA